CCUCCAAUUUAUUGUUAUUCUCUUCUUCCUUUUCAGCUUUCUGAUCUCUGAACUCCCAAAGACAUGGCGAAAAACAGGAACAAGAAGAAGCGAAACGGCGUCGCUUCAAUGGACUGCGACGAAGGAACCGUUCCCGAGCUUCAUCAAGCGAUGGACAUUUCAGAGACUGGAGUUCAAAAGCCUGGUUCUGCUACUCCAA